rnacentral:rRNA from 1 species
AGAGUUAAAAGUACGUGAAAUUGCUAAAAGGGAAACAUUUAACACCAGUAUUUGCCGGCUGAAAAUCAAUCAAGACUGUGGUCUUGGUGCACUUUUCAGCUGGCAGGUCAACAUCGGUUUUGGGUGUCUUAAAAAGACCAAGAGAAGGUAGCUGCUUGCAGUGUUAUAGCUCUGGUUCAUGAGACGUCCGAGACCGAGGACUGCGGCACAUGCCAUUGGCUGGGUUCCCGGCAGCUGUUUGCUAGCGACUUUUGGACUGCUUGCAGACCAUUAGUCGUAUAGUAGGCACCCUGUUGGAGAAUCACAAAUGUGCCUAGGAUGCUGACGUAAUGGCUUUAAACGACC